rnacentral:misc_RNA from 1 species
UUUCCGUAGGUGAACCUGCGGAAGGAUCAUUACAGAGUUCAUGCCCUCACGGGUAGAUCUCCCACCCUUGAAUAUUUAUACCUUAGUUGCUUUGGCAGGCCGUGGAAACACCAUGGGCUCCGGCUUAUGCGUGCCCGCCAGAGGAAACAAACUCUGUUUUUAGUGAUGUCUGAGUACUAUAUAAUAGUUAAAACUUUCAACAACGGAUCUCUUGGUUCUGACAUCGAUAAGACGCAGC